rnacentral:rRNA from 1 species
CGGUGGUCAUAGCGUGAGGGAAACGCCCGGUCACAUUCCGAACCCGGAAGCUAAGCCUCACAGCGCCGAUGGUACUGCAGGGGGGACCCUGUGGGAGAGUAGGACACCGC